GAUGAACGCUGGCGGCGUGCCUAAUACAUGCAAGUCGAGCGAACAGACGAGGAGCUUGCUCCUCUGACGUUAGCGGCGGACGGGUGAGUAACACGUGGAUAACCUACCUAUAAGACUGGGAUAACUUCGGGAAACCGGAGCUAAUACCGGAUAAUAUAUUGAACCGCAUGGUUCAAUAGUGAAAGACGGUUUUGCUGUCACUUAUAGAUGGAUCCGCGCCGCAUUAGCUAGUUGGUAAGGUAACGGCUUACCAAGGCGACGAUGCGUAGCCGACCUGAGAGGGUGAUCGACCACAAUGGAACUGAGACACGGUCCAGACUCCUACGGGAGGCAGCAGUAGGGAAUCUUCCGCAAUGGGCGAAAGCCUGACGGAGCAACGCCGCGUGAGUGAUGAAGGUCUUCGGAUCGUAAAACUCUGUUAUUAGGGAAGAACAAAUGUGUAAGUAACUAUGCACGUAUUGACGGUACCUAAUCAGAAAGCCACGGCUAACUACGUG
rnacentral:rRNA from 1 species